UACGUAGGGUCCGAGCGUUGUCCGGAAUUACUGGGCGUAAAGAGCUCGUAGGUGGUUUGUCGCGUUGUUCGUGAAAACUCACAGCUUAACUGUGAGCGUGCGGGCGAUACGGGCAGACUGGAGUACUGCAGGGGAGACUGGAAUUCCUGGUGUAGCGGUGGAAUGCGCAGAUAUCAGGAGGAACACCGGUGGCGAAGGCGGGUCUCUGGGCAGUAACUGACGCUGAGGAGCGAAAGCGUGGGGAGCGAACAGG
rnacentral:rRNA from 1 species